rnacentral:misc_RNA from 1 species
GAUGAAGAACGUAGCGAAAUGCGAUACGUAAUGUGAAUUGCAGAAUUCAGUGAAUCAUCGAGUCUUUGAACGCACAUUGCGCCCCCUGGUAUUCCGGGGGGCAUGCCUGUCCGAGCGUCAUUGCUGCCCUCAAGCACGGCUUGUGUGUUGGGCCUCCGUCCUCCUCCCGGGGGACGGGCCCGAAAGGCAGCGGCGGCACCGCGUCCGGUCCUCGAGCGUAUGGGGCUUCGUCACCCGCUCUUGUAGGCCCGGUCGGCGCUUGCCGACACAUCAAUCUUUUUUCCAGGUUGACCUCGGAUCAGGUAGGGAUACCCGCUGAACUUAAGCAUAUCAAUAAGCGGAGG